CCUACGGGAGGCAGCAGUCGGGAAUUUUGGGCAAUGGGCGAAAGCCUGACCCAGCAACGCCGCGUGAAGGAUGAAGUCCUUCGGGAUGUAAACUUCGUAAGAAUGGGAAGAAUCAAUGACGGUACCAUUUGUAAGGUCCGGCUAACUACGUGCCAGCAGCCGCGGUAAUACGUAGGGACCAAGCGUUGUUCGGAUUUACUGGGCGUAAAGGGUGCGUAGGCGGCGUGUCAAGUCAGUUGUGAAAUCUUAAGGCUUAACCUUAAGCGGUCAACUGAUACUGUCAUGCUAGAGUGCAGAAGGGGCAAUCGGAAUUCUUGGUGUAGCGGUGAAAUGCGUAGAUAUCAAGAGGAACACCUGAGGUGAAGACGGGUUGCUGGGCUGACACUGACGCUGAGGCACGAAAGCUAGGGUAGCAAACGGGAUUAGAUACCCUGGUAGU
rnacentral:rRNA from 1 species